AGGCCUCGCAGUCGCCGUGGACGCCGUUCUUGCGCAUGGAGUCGCCAUUUUGCUCCUAGAGAAGCCGCCUGGAGAGCCGGCGCUUUCUUCCUUCGGCAGCCGAGGCUGCGGCGGGGCCGGGGCUGGGGUCGGGGCCAGGAGGAAUUUUGUUGUCAGAGAAUAAAAGGAGGUUGUCCAUAAUUGACUUUAAGCAGCAAACAGUAAAACACUGAGCUCUUCAGCUCCGCCUUUCUUGCUCUGAGAAUUGGAAAACCAAGAAGGUUUUGAUGUUUUGUGUGGCGCCACCUGAAUUAGAAACCAAGAUGAACAUAACGAAAGGAGGUCUGGUGUUGUUUUCAGCAAAUUCUAACUCCUCGUGUAUGGAGCUUUCAAAGAAAAUUGCUGAGCGGCUGGGGGUGGAGAUGGGCAAAGUGCAGGUUUACCAGGAACCUAACAGAGAAACAAGAGUACAGAUUCAAGAAUCCGUGAGGGGAAAGGAUGUUUUCAUCAUCCAGACUGUCUCCAAGGAUGUAAACACCACCAUCAUGGAGCUCCUGAUUAUGGUGUACGCGUGUAAGACCUCCUGUGCCAAAAGCAUCAUCGGCGUGAUUCCCUACUUUCCUUACAGCAAACAGUGCAAGAUGAGAAAAAGAGGCUCCAUUGUUUCUAAACUGCUGGCUUCGAUGAUGUGCAAAGCGGGUCUAACUCAUCUUAUUACUAUGGAUUUGCACCAGAAGGAAAUUCAAGGCUUCUUCAACAUUCCUGUUGACAAUUUAAGAGCAUCUCCCUUUUUACUGCAGUAUAUUCAAGAAGAGAUCCCGGACUACAGGAAUGCAGUGAUCGUGGCCAAAUCUCCAGCCUCGGCCAAAAGGGCACAGUCUUUUGCGGAGCGCCUGCGACUGGGAAUUGCGGUGAUUCACGGGGAAGCGCAGGACGCCGAGUCCGACUUGGUGGAUGGACGGCAUUCCCCGCCCAUGGUCAGGAGUGUGGCUGCCAUCCACCCCAGCCUGGAGAUCCCCAUGCUAAUUCCUAAAGAAAAGCCCCCAAUCACAGUUGUUGGCGAUGUGGGAGGAAGGAUCGCCAUCAUUGUGGACGACAUCAUCGAUGAUGUUGACAGCUUCCUCGCUGCAGCAGAGACCCUGAAGGAAAGAGGCGCAUACAAGAUCUUUGUGAUGGCGACUCACGGCUUGUUAUCCUCGGAUGCUCCGCGGCUGAUCGAAGAGUCCGCCAUUGACGAGGUGGUGGUUACCAAUACGAUUCCACAUGAAAUUCAGAAGCUCCAGUGCCCCAAAAUUAAAACGGUGGAUAUCAGCAUGAUCCUUUCGGAAGCCAUCCGUCGGAUUCACAAUGGACCCGCACAUUUCUGACGUGUAAUGGCUGUGGCAGGAGAGGAACUCGAGUCCCAGGCUGUGAGCCACGGGGGGCAGCUCAAAAAGAAUAAGCUGGCAGAUGUCUACAGGAUGGUGGAAUGGGGAACUCCGAAAGUCCCUUCCUCUGUAAAAAAGAAGAAACUGGCAGAAACUGUCAGAAUCAACAUUAUUGGGACUCUAGAAAAUAACCAAAAGUUUAUGGCAACCCAGAAAAUUGUUAGUCAAACCAAACCACUCCACCACCAACAACAAACGGCUGAAUCUUGACAAAAUUGCUUUGUGGCACUUUAACUUACCCCCAGUCCCAUUUGUUACCUGCUUCCUGGCAGCCUUGAAGACAGUGGCCUGCAUUCCUGGUACGUGUUCCUGGUACCAGUGGGGGUAGAAUACUGUUCUCACAGAACCGUGGUUAUUUGUUUGGGCCUGUUUCCUGGCUCCUCGAAGGAUGGCUCAAAGGACUUGCCUUGGUUUUACCCAACUCAGAACUCUUCAGAGCAGAGGGACAGUUGUUGAAAAAGUAUAAAGGCAAAUGUAUUAGCCACCCCUGUCGGGGCAAACAAUGAGACCAUUAAAGGCUUGGGAGGAAAGGCUAGAGAAUGAGAUACAUCAGGGGUUGGGGGGGAAAGGACUUUACAAAGCUCCCGUAUGUUCCUGGGGAUAUGAAGGGCAUGGGAUUGCACAGGGCUGAGCACGUGCCCGGAAAAGACCCAAGAAAGCCUUAGACUCUCACUUCGGGCUGACCUUCAGGCUCUCUGCAAGUAUGAAGUGUGGGCUAAAGCAGAAUUCUAGUCUGUCUGUCUGAGAGUUGAAGGUGUGGCCCAAGACAGCAGCCCAUCUGCAGAGUGGGUGAUUUUCCUUCCUCCUCCCCUCCCUCCCCUCCCACCUUCCCCUUUCCCCUUUCCCCUUCCCCUUCUCUUGUUUUCAGGCAUUUAAGGAAGUCUAUGAUGACUCACCAUUCAGCUGACUGAACAGAGAUUUCAGUUACCACACGUGACGAUACAGACUUUACAAAUAUUAGUUGAGAAACGCCACCAAACAGGCAACUACAAGCAGCAAUAAACCCUGGGGAAGGAGGAGACUCUGAUUCCAGACUUCCCCUGUUAUAAAAAUGCCCAGUUAUCAACCAAAAAAGUUCUGAGGCAUGGAAACACACAAGGUUGGGCCCAUACACAGGAAAAAAACUUAGAAGAAACCAUCCUUGAAGAAGUAUACACAUAUUCACUAAAGCUUUAUUUUUUUAUGUAUUUGAGAGAGAAAGUGCGAGCGGGGAAGGGGCAGAGAGGAGAAAA